rnacentral:rRNA from 1 species
CGGGAAUAUUGCGCAAUGGAGGAAACUCUGACGCAGUGACGCCGCGUAUAGGAAGAAGUUUUUCGGAAUGUAAACUAUUGUCGUUAGGGAAGAGAAAGGACAGUACCUAAGGAGGAAGCUCCGGCUAACUAUGUGCCAGCAGCCGCGGUAAUACAUAGGGAGCGAGCGUUAUCCGGAAUUAUUGGGUGUAAAGGGUGCGUAGAUGGGUUGACAAGUUAGUUGUGAAAUCCCUUGGCUUAACUGAGGAAUUGCAACUAAAACUAUCAGUCUUGAGUACAGGAGAGGUAAGUGGAAUUCCUAGUGUAGCGGUGAAAUGCGUAGAUAUUAGGAGGAACACCAGUGGCGAAGGCGACUUACUGGACUGAAACUGACAUUGAAGCACGAAAGUGUGGGGAGCAAAC